UAAUUUCUACUUCGUCUUCUUUCUGUUGUUUGUGGAUGCUCUAAAGAAGUUAUUUUGGGUUUAAGUUGUCGUUGUGAAUCUGAUGAUGACAUGGUUGAAUGUACUUAUAUUUUGUCAGAGGAACUAGUUUCCAGAGGGUAGAAUGUACUUUAUAUUUUGUCUUUUUUGAUGUUUUCCUUAUGUAAGGCACACAGUUUGUUCUCAUAAUCUGUCUUCUCUUUCUUUUUUUUCUUUUUUUUUUGUGAACCUGAGAAUAGUGUUUGGAAUAUGUAAGACACUUGAUAUUUUCCUUAGAUAAUUUGAAUAGUAAGACACUUGAUGAUAUUUUCCUUAGAUAAUUUGAAUAGUAAGACACUUGAUAGUAACGCUAUGAAAUGAGGGGUUCUGGUCCUCUCAUCGUGGCCCUCUUUAGACUUAAUGCGGUUUACAAUUCCAAAUGCCUUCAAAAUCAAAGAUGAAAUUUCAGCCAAUCGUCUUCAUUUUUCAAAUACGGAAUCGCUUCAUGAAAGUGAAAG
rnacentral:lncRNA from 1 species